UUAGCAGGUAUUUUCCAAAGUAUUUUAUCUUUGGAGGAUCUACUCCCAAAAAUUCUAAUGCUAGCUGUACUGCUUUAGAGACAUUAAGUGCCAUCACAUUGUUAGUGUUUCUGGGGCCAAAGAUUGUUUCUCAAAUCCCCACUCCAUUCAAUAAACACUGACACCAAGUAAUAACAUUCAGUAUGUGUGUUGUAACAUGUGUUACCGUACAGCUUGCCAUGCUGUCAAAACUGCCUUGCAAUUUAAUUCCCGACCACGUAACUUAAUUGCAUAGUAUAUGGAAAAUGUUGCUGUUAUGCAAACCUCUGUUUUCUGACAAUAGUCAGUCAAGCUGCUUUCCUCCCUUAACUUUAUACCCUGAAAAUAUUCUAAUUCUGUUUGUUAUGCCAACACUAGUUAGUUUUCCAAAGGCAGCUGCUCUCCAGAAGAUGAUCUGUAUGUCAUACACAACCUUCAAAACUGCCCUCCUGGUGCGAUUUCACUGAAGUUAACCCUGCAGAUGGAGCACCUGAGAAAAGUGCACAGCCUAAGGAUAAACCCAGUGUCCCUGGGUACCUAUCAGCUUGAAAGGAGAAAAGUGAACACUGCAGCAUCUUAAUUCAAGAGGCAAACUGGAGAAUGUGUCAAAGAAGAAUGAAAAAUUAUCCUGAGUGCAAGAAACUAGGAAGACAACCAAACAAAAUCAACACUUAAAAAAACCCCAAACCUCAAAACGGAGUGAUUUUUAAGGCAAUCCUCAUCAUUUUGGGCUGGGGCCAGCAGGAAGACCGCGCUCUUCCCCUGUUCAACCACUGCCAGCCUCUUGCCCUACACACCUCGAUGAUAAAAAUAUCUGUAUCCUGUCAACAUCAUGAGAUCCACCCUUCAGGAAUACUAAAACUACAGCAGGCCAGAAAAAUGCUUACAAACCUUCCUAUUGCAGGUAAAACCCAGGAUCCUGCCACAAAUGGAAAAGGUCUUUCCUAAGGCUCCUGCCCAAGAGAGGCUGCUGCUAAAAAGUUUUUUAUCCCACACCACAGCAUCUUUUUUCUCCCUCUUUGGUGCCCAAACCCUCCCAAGGCACAGAGGGAAUGGGCUCAGAUGGUCCAUGUAAAUCUCAGCAAAUUAGGCUCUGCACCAGAUGCCAAGGGAUGGACGUCAGCUGAGGAAACAGCACAACCGGUCCCAACCAGGCAGAAAAGACAGCAGGGGACAGUAAACUCCACAACGGUUCAUUGUAUAACAAAUGCAAGCAUUUAUUCCCCUCUGUCCAGGGAAACUCUGCAGCACAUUUUGUCUACAGCAAAGUAAUUACUAGCUGUUUGCUUGUUUUCCUUUAAUGAAUCAGUUGAAUGAUUCCAGUGUGAGUGUGGGGGAGUGAAAGUCUGCCAUUCAGCUGUCUGCUAACUCUGGCUUCUCUGAAGAUUUGUAGAGCAGAAUUCAGGACUCCAGGAGUUUGGGUUAUUUUUCUAAAUGAAGUUCAACAUUGCAUCUUCCAGAGAAGCUGCCAGUUAUCUCCAAAACCUACAGUUCUUAUUCAUUUGGUACCACAGGUUUCAGAUCGAAUCGUGGCAAAGUGUGGUUGACCUCAGAUUAAACUAAAGUACUUGCUCCAUGGCAUUAGACUUCAAGGUUGGCUAGCAUGGGAGCUGGAUGGAGCAUGGUUUUUUUUACAUCAUGGCUCAAGAAAAAAAACUGGAGGAGAGGAGGUGUGCAGUGUGUCUGAACACAACUGAAAUGGUUGGGUUGUGGAAGAAGAAUUCUGAAAUGCCUCAUCUGGAGCCAAAGUAAAAUGAGGUGUAUCAUUUUUUGUUAUGUAAGUUCUAAAAAACCUUUUUUUUUCUUAAUGCAAUGUGUUUUAGCAGUGAGGUCAACUUUUAAGUGAAAAAUGCCAUUUUGAAUCAAAUCUACAUUUCAAAUGCUUGCAAAACAUAAACAAAAUUCCCAAAAUGAAACAGUUCAUUCUGAAACUGUCAGAAUGACAUGCAUUGCUAUUUUUAACAUCCAUCCAUCUUCCCCCACCUCUCUAUUUUUUUCUAGGCCUGACCUAUUCAGAAAAUGUGUUUGAAUUUGUGAAUCAUUUUGACUCCCCCUUGACAUCUGCUGGAAAAUUUACUCUCUGCCAAAAAUCUGUUUUUCCAACCAGUUCCUAAAAUUUCCUGUCCUGCCAGGGUUUCUCUGGAUGAGGCUGGAGGACCGACUGCAUUGUGGGGGCAGCGGAGAUGGUCCAGAAGAAGAGCAGGCCAGGAGGCCAAAUCCCAGCAUCUUUCCAGGCAGAGAUGGACUCUGUGGCACUGAGCAGCCCAAUUCCUCACUCUGACUGCCUGGAAAAACUCCCAAGCUGCCCUCUCCUGAGACCAAAGACAGAGUUGUACUCCAAUGAAGCCAGCAGGCAAAGGGAGUUCCUCAUCAGGCUGUGGCUUCUGGGUAGUAAGGGAGUCCUUUGAGUUUUGGUUCUCUUGGAAAAAUCUUGCCUUCAAUGCCAAGAUCCUGAAGGUUACAGGGGUGUACUGUGGGGGCUUGGAGAUGCCUCCUAUCAAAUUUAUGGGAAUUUUGGCUUUGGCUUCAAUGGAAGCAUGUCAGUUCCCAGGCUUGCAAUGCAAUACAGAGGCAAUAAACUUCACAGUCUGGCAAUUCAUAGAACAACUGAUGCCUUUGCAAUAUGCUCCAGUCUCCACCACAGAAAGACAUUCUCAACAUGAAAGCCCAGGGUGAAGGAUUGUCACCUCUAAAUAAAUACAGCUCCAAGGAGAUAAUAAUUAACACGCUCUUUCUGAAGCUGCUCAGCAAUUGCAUUUCCGACUGCCUCCUACUUCUGUGACCACAUCUUACUUUCAAGGCAAGGCCCAAAAUGUCCAGGCUGAACGGAGCUUUGCGACAGUGAAGACUGCAGGCUGAGCCCUCCUUCUGCUUCACAUAGUCCAAGAGCCCUGUUUUCCAAAAUCCCAAGUCAAGGAUGAAAGCCCAGAAGCCAAGGAUGAAACCCUAGGCAAAACUCACGUCAAUUCAGCAAGGUCCACACCACAGCAUCUGCAGGUGCUGACCUUCCUGCAAACCAAAUGCGUGAGGGAAACAGCAAAGAGACAAGUCUGAUUCUGUCCUUUGAACCAACCUAAUUAAAAUGUCUGUCAAUAUGUCACUCCAGAGCCCAUGUAUGUCUUUCAGGGAAAUGUGGGAUGCUUUACCAAAACCACAACAGUGCUGAAUGCUAAUGCAGUUCCUAUUGUGUAGCCCUGAUCAGAUAAUACACUGUAUUGCUUACAAGAAGUUGUAAGUGCUAAACAUUUGUUGUUUUACCCCCUCGUCUUCCUUCCAAAAGCAAUCCUUUUGCCUUGCAAUAGGUCUUAGAUCUGAAAGAAAGAAUUUAAUUCCUUCUACGAGGCUGUCUCUUUUGCC